rnacentral:rRNA from 1 species
GACGAACGCUGGCGGCGUGCUUAACACAUGCAAGUCGAACGAUGAACCAGGAGCUUGCUCCGGCGGAUUAGUGGCGAACGGGUGAGUAACACGUGAGUAACCUGCCCUUGACUCUGGGAUAACUGCUAGAAAUGGUAGCUAAUACCGGAUACGACCCUCGGUGGCAUCUCCAGGGGGUGGAAAGAAUUUCGGUCAAGGAUGGACUCGCGGCCUAUCAGCUAGUUGGUGAGGUAACGGCGCACCAAGGCGACGACGGGUAGCCGGCCUGAGAUGGAGACCGGCCACACGGGGAAUGAGACACCGCCCAGACUCCUACGGGAGGCAGCAGUGGGGAAUAUUGCAAAAUGGGCGCAAGCCUGAUGCAGCAACGCCGCGUGAGGGAUGACGGCCUUCGGGUUGUAAACCUCUUUUAGUAGGGAAGAAGCGAAAGUGACGGUACCUGCAGAAAAAGCACCGGCUAACUACGUGCCAGCCGCCGCCGGAA